UGGUUUUGUGGUGUAGUUGGUUAUCACGUCAGUCUAGCUCACUGAAUAACUCCGAUUCGAUUCCGGGCGAAGCCAU
rnacentral:tRNA from 1 species